UACGGAGGAUGCGAGCGUUAUCCGGAUUUAUUGGGUUUAAAGGGUGCGUAGGCGGGUUGCCAAGUCAGCGGUAAAAAUGCGGUGCUCAACGCCGUCGAGCCGUUGAAACUGGCGUUCUUGAGUGGGCGAGAAGUAUGCGGAAUGCGUGGUGUAGCGGUGAAAUGCAUAGAUAUCACGCAGAACUCCGAUUGCGAAGGCAGCAUACCGGCGCCCUACUGACGCUGAGGCACGAAAGCGUGGGUAUCGAACAGG
rnacentral:rRNA from 1 species